AGCGAACGCUGGCGGCAGGCUUAACACAUGCAAGUCGAGCGCCCCGCCAGGGGAGCGGCAGACGGGCGAGUAACACGUGGGAACCUACCUUUUGGUUCGGAACAAUUGAGGGAAACUUCAGCUAAUACCGGAUAAGCCCUUACGGGGAAAGAUUUAUCGCCGAAAGGUUGGCCCGCGUCGGAUUAGCUAGUUGGUGAGGUAACGGCUCACCAAGGCGACGAUCAGUAGCUGGUCUGAGAGGAUGAUCAGCCUCACUGGGACUGGGACACGGCCCAGACUCCUACGGGAGGCAGCAGAGGGGAAUAUUGGACAAUGGGGUCAACCCUGAACCAGCCAUGCCGCGUGAGUGAUGAAGGCCUUAGGGUUGUAAAGCUCUUUUGCCCGGGAAGAUAAUGACGGUACCGGAAGAAUAAGCCCCGGCUAACUUCGUG
rnacentral:rRNA from 1 species